rnacentral:rRNA from 1 species
UACGUAGGGGGCAAGCGUUGUCCGGAAUCAUUGGGCGUAAAGAGCGUGUAGGCGGCCCGGUAAGUCCGCUGUGAAAGUCCAGGGCUCAACCCUGGGAUGCCGGUGGAUACUGUCGGGCUCGAGUCCGGAAGAGGAGUGUGGAAUUCCUGGUGUAGCGGUGAAAUGCGCAGAUAUCAGGAGGAACACCCGUGGCGAAGGCGGCUCUCUGGGACGGUACUGACGCUGAGACGCGAAAGCGUGGGGAGCGAACAGG